rnacentral:rRNA from 1 species
AGCCCACUGCUAGCCCAAUCUCAAUCACACAACCAACCAUUAAAAACCCACUACAUACCCUUAAACUAAACCAUUCUACAAAUCUUAGUAUAGGUGAUAGAAAAGACUUCUGGCGCAAUAGAAACUUGUACCGUAAGGGAAAGCUGAAAUAAUAAUGAAAAAUAAAGCAGUAAAAAGCAAAGAUAAACCCUUGUACCUUUUGCAUCAUGAUUUAGCAAGAACAACCAAGCAAAGCGAACUUAAGCUUGCCCUCCCGAAACUCAAGCGAGCUACUAGAAAGCAGCUAUAUGAGCGAACCCGUCUCUGUUGCAAAAGAGUGGGAUGACUUGCUAGUAGAGGUGAAAAGCCAACCGAGCUGAGUGAUAGCUGGUUGCCUGCAAAACGAAUAGCAGUUCUCCCUUGAUUACCUCCCACAGGAUAUAUCCUAGCCUCAAUGUAGCAUAUCAAGACCAAUUUAAAGGGGGUACAGCCCCUUUAAAAAAGAAAACAACCUCCACUAGCGGAUAACCAUUAACGUUAAUUCUUGAACCUGUAGGCCUUUAAGCAGCCACCAACAAAGAGUGCGUCAUAGCUCCUCCAUAAAAAAUCCAAUAACAUAAUGACUCCCUUCUCACUAGCAGGCCAACCUAUAACAAUAGGAGAAUUAAUGCUAAAAUGAGUAACUAGGGCUCGCCCCUCUCAAGCGCAAACUUACAUCCAUAAUUAUUAACAGAUUAUAAACCAAUACUUCAACUUCAACAAGAUUAAGAUAUUAACAUAACCUGUUAGUCCAACCCAGGAGCGCUUAACUAGAAAGAUUAAAAUCUGUAAAAGGAACUAGGCAAUUACAAGGCCCGACUGUUUACCAAAAACAUAGCCUUCAGCCAAUCAAGUAUUGAAGGUGAUGCCUGCCCAGUGACACAACCGUUUAACGGCCGCGGUAUCCUAACCGUGCAAAGGUAGCGCAAUCAAUUGUCCCAUAAAUCGAGACUUGUAUGAACGGCUAAACGAGGUCUUAACUGUCUUUUACAGAUAAUCAGUGAAAUUGAUCUCCCUGUGCAAAAGCAGGGAUACACACAUAAGACGAGAAGACCCUGUGGAACUUAAAAAUCAGCAACCACUAUACAUGCACAUCUAAACCUAUAGGCCUUACACAUCCCUUAAAAGUUGGUUCGCAUUUUUUCGGUUGGGGCGACCUUGGAGAAAAAUAAAUCCUCCAAACAUAAGACCACACUCCUUAACCAAGAACAACCUCUCAACGUGCUAACAGCAACCAGACCCAAUAUAAUUGAUCAAUGGACCAAGCUACCCCAGGGAUAACAGCGCAAUCCCCUUUAAGAGCCCACAUCGACAGGGGGGUUUACGACCUCGAUGUUGGAUCAGGACAUCCUAAUGGUGCAGACGCUAUUAAGGGUUCGUUUGUUCAACGAUUAACAGUCCUACGUGAUCUGAGUUCAGACCGGAGCAAUCCAGGUCGGUUUCUAUCUAUGACACACUCUCCCUAGUACGAAAGGACCGGGAAAGUAGGGCCCAUACUACAAGCACGCCCUCUCUCUAAAUAGUGAACCCAACUAAACUAUCAAGAGACCCCUCACACCAAAUCCUAGAAAAGGAUCA